CCGCCCGCCGCCCUCCCGGCUGGGCUGCGGCGCGAGCAGAGCGGAUCCCUCCGCCGGCGGGAGGGGCGGGGGUCGGUGGACUCCGCGGGUCCCCCGCCAGCCCGUCCGAAGGCUGCCAGUGCCUGGAGGGCCUUUCUGGGGAAGCUCCGCGGGGGUGCGCCCCGAGACGUGCUUCCCCAGGCUGGAACUGGAGAAACCGUUUAGUCAUCAGGGUGUUUAUUUUCCGGCUGUUUCCGACGUCGGGAAAGCAGAAUGUUGAGACUGGAGAGAUCCUGGGCUGCUGGAAAAGACUUCUUAGGAACUGGCCUGGGAAUCCAACUUUGGAUGCUUCCCAAAGACCAAGGAAGUGAGCCUCCCGCCAACCACAACUCCAGCCAAUCUCGAGCUCAGGGCAGGUUUGCCAGGGCUGUGAUUGGUCCGCUGAUCCUCCUAGCCUUGGAAUGAAGGCUUCUUAACAAAGGAAUGAGGAAGGAAGCCCCCCCACCCCCAUCCCAACUUCUUUCCUCGUGCCUGGACUCCGCCAGCUGCCAUUGACGUCACGCGUGCGUCAGCGUCGCCAGCCCAACCAGACAGCACGUGGGGAGAAAAAGGACCUGAGUUUGAGCCUCCACUCUUCACCUACAGGGAGGAUGCUUCCCAAGCAGUGAAGCAAGUCUGCAGUCUCUGUCAUCUCUGAAGCAGAGGGGCUGACAGACACUAGAAGGGACUUCCUGCCGAGGAGGAACCCUGAACAGAAGACAGUGACAGCCAGUCUUCCUUGAAGACCAGGAGAAAGAACACAUCUGGCCCAGAAGUGUCACCCUCCUUGUGCAGAUGGAACUUAUUCAUGGGCAACUGUCUUGUCUGGGCCUGGGCAAGAGUUACGGGAGUGUAGGAAGUGGCACACAAUGUCACCAUGCACAGAGACCUGGGUUCAAGCCUCUGCUCCCUACCUACAGGAGGGAAUGUUCAUAAGCAGUAGAGCAGUGCUACAGGUAUCUCUGCUUUUUUCUUUCUAUUUCUCCCCAUCUCUCACCUUCUAGCUAGAAAACAAACAAACAAAACCCCAAAAACCUGCCUGCCCUGGGAACAGUGGAGUCACAUAGACACUGAGCCUCAGUGAUAACCCUGGUAACAAAACAUAACAAGAAUCAAAGGAGAAAAGGCUAUUUUAUUUUCUCUUUAUAUUUUAUUUUACUGUAUUUGAUUUUGUCACUUUUUUAUUGUUGAAUAAUGUUACAUUGAGUGUAUGCCCCAUAAUUUUUAUCCAGUCAUCUGUUGAAAGACAUUGUGGUCAUUUAUAAGUUUUUGCUAUUGUGAAUAAAGCCACUAUGAAUCUCUUCCAGUCA